ensembl:lncRNA
AAAAAAUAAAUAAGAAAGCCCUAUGUAUUUAAGGGUGUCUAUUUUAAUGUUUUGCUUUCAUAAUACCAUGUUCUCAGUUACUCCCUGACUUGCCAACCUGUUGAAUUUCCUCUGAGUUUCUUAAGCUGUUGGAGCAGCUCAUAUCCAUAUCAAUGUGUUCUCCCUUAUGUGCACCCUUGACUGUUAUGUUUUAUUUAAAGGUAAUGGCUUUAACCCAAAGGAAUGACUUAUUUUGAAUACUUAGAGUUUGGGUCAAAUGGACCCAUUGUAUGAACACAUUGUAUCCCCUUGGCCACCUGUGACUUCAGCCAGGCCCAUAGUAGACAUGUAGACAUUUACCUCCCACUUCAUCCUUGCAGUGUGCUCCCCAGGCUCACACUGGCUUUUUUGAGGGGCUUGGCUUUUGCCAAUCCAUGCUCUUUUCUAUGCGCAGCCUGGAAGAGCUGAGGAGUUACUAUUUGUGACAAGUCUGAGAAGCAUACAGACCCCUCCUCAAAAGUGAAAAACGGGAGUGCAGAUUUCAAUAAUGCGCCUCACAUUGACUUUUUCUCCUUCCCUGUUUCACUUCUUUUUCACUCCUGGUUCCUGGGUGCAGGCAGUUUAUGUAGGAGGCAAUCCCAAAUUCUUAUCUUAGUCUCCGCUUUUAGGAGACUGCUAUGAUCUGAAUGUUUGUGUUUCUCCAGAAUUUAUGUUGAAAUCCUAAUCCUAAAGGUGAUGAUAUUAGGAGGUGGGGCCUUUAGGAGGUGAGGCCUUUAGGAGGCGAUUAGGUCAUGAAAGCAGAGCCCUCACGAAUCGGAUUAGUGCCCUUAUAAAAGAAGCCAGAGGAAGCUCAGUCACCUCUUCCAUCAUGUGAGAACAUGGUGAAAAGACAGCCACUGCUGGGAUUAUAGGUGUGAGCCACCACACCUGGUCCCUUUAGCUUUUUAAAUAGUCUUUAUUUUUUAGUAACUUUAAGUUUUCAUUUAAAUUUGGAGAAAUGCCCUCAUUCACCUCUCCUUCCUCAAGAUUCUCCUAUUGUUAACAUCUUGCCUUACUAUGGUAUACUUGUUACAAUUGAUGAGCUAAUAUUGGUAAAAUGUUAACAAAAGUUCAGUUUUUUCCCCCUAAGAUGGCAGAUGAAAGGCUUUUUGUGUGCCUCAACCACUUGGAAGGAGCAAAUAGUACGUAACGAUCAACUUGGUGAGCUUUAGUUCAAGAAGGAAAAUGGGAAUUCACCAAAAUGGCAAAGGACACCCCAGAUCCUGGAGAGGAGAAGGUGGGCAAACAGGGUCCAGCUGUGCCCUGAUAAAAGUCAGUGCAGCCCCAUUACACGAGACGGGUAGAGAGCCUCCCUCUGUAACUCGCCAUUCCACUAGGGAUCCAUGCAACUCUAGCCAAGGGAGGGCAUCUUGUUUCUCCCAAGCUCCAGAGCUAAUCUGGGGAGAGGCUUGCAGACACUGAGCAGGAAAGACACCAGGAAAAGCUGCAGGCAUUUUCCCAGGCCCGAGACUGAGAGGAGGACGCCAUUUUGAACCCAGGCUCAUAGAAAGUCAGCCAUUCUUCAGCAACCCAGCAACAUGGCCACACAGGCAUUUUAGUCUCAGAACAAAGAUUGGAGUGCUUUCUGUGGAGCUGGAGAAGAGUCCCCACAGCCAGAACUGAGAAGCAGGUGUGGAAAGCACCCCAGCGGUAGGUGCUGGAAUUGGGCUCUCCUUCGUUGCAGGUCUGUAGUAGGAGACUUGCUGAAGCUAGUCUCUCCUGGGCAGCAAGACUUGCUGCCAGGGCCAGUUUGCCAACCUGGAGCUGGUCUGCGUGUAUCACUGCUCGGUGCUCCAGCCUGCUUUUCUGAGAUCGUGGUGCAGUGGGGCCCUCUCUACCCUGUGCUGAGGCAUAUCACCAAGCACUUGCAACACCAAUCCCACUGGAUUAGCAGCCUGAGCUACCCCAUCCUUCCUGUACAGAGAUCUUGGUGUAGUGGUGCUCCCUUCACACCAUGCAUGGGCCUACCUCUAGGUGUUUGGCACACACUCUCACCUGGAUUAGCUGCCUGAGCUGACGCCUUUCCUGAAAAGACUUUGUUGCACUGUUACUCUGCUCCCCACUGGGGGACAUAUUUUCAGGCAUUCAGCACACGUGCUCACCUGCCUGAGCUUCCUUCCUGCGCAGAGAUCUUGGUGCAGUGGUACACUCUCUGCUCCAUGCCUGGACAUAUCUCUGAGCCUUUGGCAUACCUGCCCCUUUGGAAUAGGAGCUUGAGCUUCCAUCCCUUUCCCAUGCAGUGAACUUGGUGCAGUGACGCUUCCUCUACUCCACAGUUGGACAUAACUCCAGGCAUUUGGCACACUAGGUCCCACAGAUUAGGAGCUUGAGCCACCUAUCCCUUCCCAGGCAAAGAUCUUAUUAUGGCAGUGAUUUCUCUGCUCCUAUCCCAGGCAUUUCACCUGGCAUGAGGCACACCUGCUCUCUUGGAGUAGGAGACUGAACCACCCUUCCCAUUCCCUGGAAAGACCUUGUUGCAGCAGCAGUUUCUGCACUCCUUGCUGAGGCAUAUUUCCAGGCAUUUGGCAUACCUGCUUGCCUGGAUUAGAAGCCUGAGCCACGCCCACCUUCAGGUGUGGAGAUUGUGGUGCAGUAGCUCACCCUCCUCUCAAUGCCCAGACAUAUUUCCAGACAUUUCGAGCACCAAUUCAUCUAGAUUAGGAGUUUACACCUCUCCUCUUCUUAUGCAGAGAACUUGGGGCAGAGGACAUUUUCAAACUCCAUAACUAGGCACACCUCUGGGCACUUGGUAGCCACCCACUGCCCCCCCGGCCCCAACCUUGGAGCUAGUGUUUGUGCCUGUUAUUGGGGGACCCAUAAGAGGACCUGCCACAGAGGCAACAGAGCUUCUCCCAGUAAACAAAGACCAGGUAUAUACCCAUCUGCAUUGGCUGCAGCCAGCUCUUACCUGUAUGAGAUACCUACUGACCUGGAGGUUGAAUGGCACAACACAAUAGAAAAUCUGUUGACACGAGUGCUCAGCAGUUGGGAACAAGGAAAGCUUCCUGAGACCUCUGCCACCCCAGCCACACAGGAGGCAGUUUGCCCACACGCCCAACACAUCACUGCUACAACCAGCAUUUGGAAAAGCUGUUAUACAAAGUUACCUAUAACCAAGGAAUGUAUACAGACUGCCAUCAAAGACACACAGAACCAGACAGGGCUAAUCCCUGGCAUGGUCUUCCCCUAAAUAAGUGGGGAGCACAGCCCACCAAAGCACCCCUUGGGCCAAAGGAAACAUGAGUGCAGCACCAGCGCUUGAAGACAGCACCACCAAAGCUCAGGGAUGGACACAGAGAAUGGGUAGUCUCUCCCCUUCACACUGCUGUGGACUCAGCAGCACCUCUUUCCAUAAGAACCCAGGGAAUGUAGGCUGAAAGAGACCACUUAUUAGGCAUCUACAGUGACGGUUGAACACUUGCUCGGGGAGGGUGCUUUUCACUUCUCCGUUGCCCCUGCUCCUACCUGUUGGCUCUUACUUUUCAGCACCACCUUCUGGAGAGAAGAUUGACAAGCAACACCUAAGAAGGCCACCGCAGGAACCUAUUUGCAAUCAAGGAACCCAGCAGAGCCUUGGCUCCCUAAAAGCACCCAGAAACAAAGUCAAUCUAUUAUACACAGUAUACACUGCAGUCAUACCCCCAAGGGAAAAAAGAAUAGGAAAUCAAGAAGCUCCAUUCAAACAAUAGCAAA